rnacentral:lncRNA from 1 species
UGUUAUUCAACAGAUAGUGAAUCCUCCUCUGUGCAAGUCCUGGAAUUAUGGUUUCAGGAUUCAUUGGCACAACAGUUGGCAACUGAAAUUAUGGGUAUAGACAGGUCAUCUAGGAAAAAAGUGUGUAAAAUGAGAAGAAAAGAAGGCCCAGAACAGAUCGCUAAGGGAGGACAGAAGAAGAGGAACCAGCCAGGCAACAAGACACGAAGGAGCCAGAGCAGUUGGAAGAAACCAGGAG